rnacentral:rRNA from 1 species
AUUGAACGCUGGCGGCAGGCCUAACACAUGCCAGUCGAACGGAGCGGCGGACGGGUGAGUAAUGCCUAGGACUCUUCUUGGCAGUGGGGGAUAACGUCCGUAAACGGGGGCUACUACCACAUUCUAUCAGAUGAGCCUAGGUCUGAUUACCUAGUUGGUGGGGUAAAGGCCUACCAAGGCGACGAUCCGUAACUGGUCUGAGAGGAUGAUCAGUCACACUGGAACUGAGACACGUUCCAGACUCCUACGGGAGGCAGCAGUGGGGAAUAUUGGACAAUGGGCGAAAGCCUGAUCCAGCCAUGCCGCGUGUGUGAAGAAGGUCUUCGGAUUGUAAAGCACUUUAAGUUGGGAGGCGUUACCAACAGAAUAAGCACCGGCUAACUUCGUGCCAGCAGCCGCGGUAAUUC